AUGGCCGACUGCAGCUCAAAGUGUAGUAUCUGUUCUCAUCAGCUUAAUAUCUGACACGGGUUGUCAUUUGGACCCAAGAUACUAAACUUAUUUUUGCAAGCUGCCGGCGUGCUUGAAGCCUGCUUCACCUCCGCCGCGAGUCGGCCCGGUAUUGCACUAUCUUCGGGAUCGGCCCACGGUUU